rnacentral:rRNA from 1 species
CCUUAGUAACGGCGAGUGAACCGGGACCAGUCCAGCGCUAAAUCUCGUCGUUUCGGCGGCGCGAAAUGUAGCGUAUAGGCAGUGUGCUUGGCCAUGGCUCUGGGCACAAGUUUCCCAUGACCGGGGCGCCAGAGAAGGUGAUAGACCUGUAGCGUCCGGAGCCUAGGCUGACUGCUCUGUCUUGGAGUCGGGUUGUUUGGGAUCGCAGCCCAAAGCAGGUGGUAUACUUCAUCUAAGACUAAAUAUCCCUACGAGACCGAUAGCAAACAAGUACCGUGAGGGAAAGUUGCAAAGCACUUUGAAGAGAGAGUUAAAGAGGACGUGAAACCGGUAGGAUGGAAACGGAUAGAGCCAGCGAAGUCGCUCGUAUUCAGCCAAAGGCCGGUGGCAUCGGUCGGUUGGGUUGCUAAUCACGCCUGACUUGCCUUUUGUUCGCCGGUUGAGGUGCAUUUGCGGGCGUUUGCGCUGAGACUUGCGAGUCAGCUUCUGGACCCGGGCCUAGAGGCCGUCCUCUGGGCGGAACCUUGGCACGGCGACGGUUGUUUGGCCUGCUUGUACCACGGCUUGGCCUACGGACCUGGGCGGCUGUGUCGUCUGCUUGUGACGGCAUCGCAUGCGAUGUCCCACCUGUGGGCGGCUCAGUUGUUUGGCGUUCCCAAGUCGGCUCUCGGUGUAAAAGCUGGUCACCUAUCCGACCCGUCUUGAAACACGGACCAAGGAGUUUAGCGUAUGCGCGAGCCAUUGGGUGUUGAAAACUCACAGGCACAAUGAAAGUGAAGGCCCAGCCGCUGGGCUGACAUGCGAGUUGGCGGCCCUCGGGCCGUCGAUGCAGCAUGGUCCCAUUUCGGUCGCUUGCGACGGAGUGGAGACAGAGCGUAUGCGCUGAGACCCGAAAGAUGGUGAACUAUUCCUGAGCAGGACGAAGCCAGAGGAAACUCUGGUGGAAGUCC